rnacentral:rRNA from 1 species
GAUGAACGCUGGCGGCAUGCCUAAUACAUGCAAGUCGAGCGAACAGACGAGGAGCUUGCUCCUCUGACGUUAGCGGCGGACGGGUGAGUAACACGUGGAUAACCUACCUAUAAGACUGGGAUAACUUCGGGAAACCGGAGCUAAUACCGGAUAAUAUAUUGAACCGCAUGGUUCAAUAGUGAAAGACGGUUUUGCUGUCACUUAUAGAUGGAUCCGCGCCGCAUUAGCUAGUUGGUAAGGUAACGGCUUACCAAGGCAACGAUGCGUAGCCGACCUGAGAGGGUGAUCGGCCACACUGGAACUGAGACACGGUCCAGACUCCUACGGGAGGCAGCAGUAGGGAAUCUUCUGCAAUGGGCGAAAGCCUGACGGAGCAACGCCGCGUGAGUGAUGAAGGUCUUCGGAUCGUAAAACUCUGUUAUUAGGGAAGAACAAAUGUGUAAGUAACUAUGCACGUCUUGACGGUACCUAAUCAGAAAGCCACGGCUAACUACGUG